UACAGAGGGGGCAAGCGUUGUUCGGAAUUACUGGGCGUAAAGGGCGCGUAGGCGGCCUUCUAAGUCGAACGUGAAAUCCCCGGGCUCAACCCCGGGAACUGCGUCCGAUACUGGAAGGCUUGAAUCCGGGAGAGGGAUGCGGAAUUCCAGGUGUAGCGGUGAAAUGCGUAGAUAUCUGGAGGAACACCGGUGGCGAAGGCGGCAUCCUGGAC
rnacentral:rRNA from 1 species